CUUACACAUGCAGUCGAGCGGGGAAGGUAGCUUGCUACUUAACCUAGCGGCGGACGGGUGAGUAAUGCUUAGGAAUCUGCCUAUUAGUGGGGGACAACAUCUCGAAAGGGAUGCUAAUACCGCAUACGUCCUACGGGAGAAAGCAGGGGACCUUCGGGCCUUGCGCUAAUAGAUGAGCCUAAGUCGGAUUAGCUAGUUGGUGGGGUAAAGGCCUACCAAGGCGACGAUCUGUAGCGGGUCUGAGAGGAUGAUCCGCCACACUGGGACUGAGACACGGCCCAGACUCCUACGGGAGGCAGCAGUGGGGAAUAUUGGACAAUGGGGGGAACCCUGAUCCAGCCAUGCCGCGUGUGUGAAGAAGGCCUUUUGGUUGUAAAGCACUUUAAGCGAGGAGGAGGCUACCGAGAUUAAUACUCUUGGAUGGUGGACGUUACUCGCAGAAUAAGCACCGGCUAACUCUGUGCCAGCAGCCGCGGUAAUACAGAGGGUGCAAGCGUUAAUCGGAUUUACUGGGCGUAAAGCGCGCGUAGGUGGCCAAUUAAGUCAAAUGUGAAAUCCCCGAGCUUAACUUGGGAAUUGCAUUCGAUACUGGUUGGCUAGAGUAUGGGAGAGGAUGGUAGAAUUCCAGGUGUAGCGGUGAAAUGCGUAGAGAUCUGGAGGAAUACCGAUGGCGAACGCAGCCAUCUGGCCUAAUACUGACACUGAGGUGCGAAAGCAUGGGGAGCAAACAGGA
rnacentral:rRNA from 1 species